rnacentral:sRNA from 1 species
GUUUAGCCCUGAUUGAAACGGCAUCCUUUUUUGUUUUUCACAAAAAAGAUACAGAGAAAAGCAGGAAAUUGC